rnacentral:rRNA from 1 species
GACAGAGGGGGCAAAUGUUGUUCGGAAUCACUGGGCGUAAAGGGAGCGUAGGCGGGUUUCUAAGUCAGGUGUUUAAUCCCGGGGCCCAACCCCGGACAGGCACUUGAAACUGGGAAUCUUGAAUAGUGGAGAGGUCAGUGGAAUUGGGGGUGUAGCGGUGGAAUGCGUAGAGAUCCCCAAGAACACCAGUUGCGAAGGCGGCUGACUGGACACAUAUUGACGCUGAGGCUCGAAAGCAUGGGGAGCAAACAGG